UACAGAGGGGGCAAGCGUUGUUCGGAAUUACUGGGCGUAAAGGGCGCGUAGGCGGCCUUCUAAGUCGAACGUGAAAUCCCCGGGCUCAACCCGGGAACUGCGUCCGAGACUGAAAGGCUUGAAUCCGGGAGAGGGAUGUGGAAUUCCAGGUGUAGCGGUGAAAUGCGUAGAUAUCUGGAGGAACAUCGGUGGCGAAGGCGGCAUCCUGGACCGGUAUUGACGCUGAUGCGCGAAAGCCAGGGGAGCGAACGGG
rnacentral:rRNA from 1 species